CAGAGGAAGGAUCACUUUCCAGAAAUGGGUCCGGAUUCCUCUGAGGCAGAGAAGACUUCCUUGGACUCCAAAGAGAGGCCACUUGGAGACAGAACAAUGCCAGCAAGGCCUGUUUGUCCAUCUUUUCUUGGUGGCGGAGGGGAAGCUGCUCCCGUGGAACCAGAGCAGGGUCCAGUGUGCUUUGAAGAUGUGGCUG